UAGGAGUUACGGAAUUGGUUAUUUCUGGGAAUGGGGAUGUGGGGCGUUAUUUAAGGGGGAAUUUCAUGGUUAAAGCGUUCUAUAGUGCUUCUGAAUCAGCCUCAGUAUUCAAUGACGACGAAAACAACCGACACCGAAGUUCGACGACGAACAUAACGAACGCCGCCGCCGCCGUUGCCGCUGCCGCUGACAAAACCAACUCGACAACGACUUUUAUACGUAUCUAUAGUUCGCACGAGUUGGAAAGCCAAGAAGAAGAAUGAAUACAAGAAGGCAGCUCUUGGGCUUGGGCUGGGUCUGAUGGUCUGAGAGUCUGAGAGUUUAAGGGUCUUGGCUUUUUCUGUAACGCGUUGCGGGAACUUGGCAUCCAUUAAUGAGUAAAGUGGAAGGAAGGAAGAAAACUUUUCUUCGGCUUUUCGUCUUUCACUAUACCAUCACCAUCACCAUCAGAAGCAUCAGUACCAUCACCCAGAAGGCAAUCUUAUUGUCUUCUUCUUAUUCUUGUUGUUUUUGUUUUUGUUGUUGUUGUUUUUGUGGAAAAGCAUGAAUAAAAUAUAAUAUGAACGAACA